rnacentral:rRNA from 2 species
CAGAUGAGAAGCUUGCUUCUCUGAUGUUAGCGGCGGACGGGUGAGUAACACGUGGGUAACCUACCUAUAAGACUGGGAUAACUCCGGGAAACCGGGGCUAAUACCGGAUAAUAUUUUGAACCGCAUGGUUCAAUAGUGAAAGACGGUUUCGGCUGUCACUUAUAGAUGGACCCGCGCCGUAUUAGCUAGUUGGUAAGGUAACGGCUUACCAAGGCGACGAUACGUAGCCGACCUGAGAGGGUGAUCGGCCACACUGGAACUGAGACACGGUCCAGACUCCUACGGGAGGCAGCAGUAGGGAAUCUUCCGCAAUGGGCGAAAGCCUGACGGAGCAACGCCGCGUGAGUGAUGAAGGUCUUCGGAUCGUAAAACUCUGUUGUUAGGGAAGAACAAAUUUGUUAGUAACUGAACAAGUCUUGACGGUACCUAACCAGAAAGCCACGGCUAACUACGUGCCAGCAGCCGCGGUAAUACGUAGGUGGCAAGCGUUAUCCGGAAUUAUUGGGCGUAAAGCGCGCGUAGGCGGUUUCUUAAGUCUGAUGUGAAAGCCCACGGCUCAACCGUGGAGGGUCAUUGGAAACUGGGAAACUUGAGUGCAGAAGAGGAGAGUGGAAUUCCAUGUGUAGCGGUGAAAUGCGCAGAGAUAUGGAGGAACACCAGUGGCGAAGGCGGCUCUCUGGUCUGUAACUGACGCUGAUGUGCGAAAGCGUGGGGAUCAAACAGGAUUAGAUACCCUGGUAGUCCACGCCGUAAACGAUGAGUGCUAAGUGUUAGGGGGUUUCCGCCCCUUAGUGCUGCAGCUAACGCAUUAAGCACUCCGCCUGGGGAGUACGACCGCAAGGUUGAAACUCAAAGGAAUUGACGGGGACCCGCACAAGCGGUGGAGCAUGUGGUUUAAUUCGAAGCAACGCGAAGAACCUUACCAAAUCUUGACAUCCUUUGACCGCUCUAGAGAUAGAGUCUUCCCCUUCGGGGGACAAAGUGACAGGUGGUGCAUGGUUGUCGUCAGCUCGUGUCGUGAGAUGUUGGGUUAAGUCCCGCAACGAGCGCAACCCUUAAGCUUAGUUGCCAUCAUUAAGUUGGGCACUCUAGGUUGACUGCCGGUGACAAACCGGAGGAAGGUGGGGAUGACGUCAAAUCAUCAUGCCCCUUAUGAUUUGGGCUACACACGUGCUACAAUGGAUAAUACAAAGGGCAGCGAAUCCGCGAGGCCAAGCAAAUCCCAUAAAAUUAUUCUCAGUUCGGAUUGUAGUCUGCAACUCGACUACAUGAAGCUGGAAUCGCUAGUAAUCGUAGAUCAGCAUGCUACGGUGAAUACGUUCCCGGGUCUUGUACACACCGCCCGUCACACCACGAGAGUUUGUAACACCCGAAGCCGGUGGAGUAA